GACGAACGCUGGCGGCGUGCUUAACACAUGCAAGUCGAACGGAAAGGCCUUGCUUUCGUGGUGUGCUCGAGUUGCUCACGUGUGAGUAACACGUGUGUCACCUGCCUUUUCCUUUCGGAUAUCUUCAGUAAACUUGGGCUACUACCUGUUAUUCCCUCCUGCUGCAUGGUGUGGGUUGGAUAGUUUCGGCGGUUGGGAGUGGACUCGCGGCUUAUCUGCUUGGUGGUGGGGUAGUUGCUUACCAAGGCUUUGACCGGUAGCCGGCCUGAGAGGGUGAACGGCGACAUUGGGAAGGAGAUAAGGCGAAGAAGCAGAGGGGAGGAAGGAGGGGGGAAUAGUGCACAAUGGGAGGAAGCCUGAGGGAGCAACGACGCGUGCGGGAUGACGGACUUCGGGUGGUAGACAGCUUGCGACUGGGACGAAGGGGGAGUGACGGUAAUGGGUAAAGAAGCACCGGCUAACUACGUG
rnacentral:rRNA from 1 species